rnacentral:rRNA from 1 species
GACGAACGCUGGCGGCGUGCCUAACACAUGCAAGUCGAGCGAACAGACGGGGUGUUUGCUCCUCUGACGUCGGCGGCGGACGGGUGAGUAACAUGAGGUUGACCUAACUAUCUGACUGGGGUACUUACGGGGGACCAGAGCUAAUACCCGAUAAUUUAUUGACCUUCAUUGUUCAAGAGCUGAAUACGGUUUUUCUGAGCCUAAAAGCUUGCCCCGGCCCGGAUUAGCUAGUUGGUAGGGAGGCGGCUUACCAAGGCUGCGAUGCGAAGCCGACCUGAGAGGGUGGAGCGCCACACGGGAACGGAGACGCGGUCCAGACACCGAGGGGAGGCAACGGUAGGGAAUCGUGCGCGAUGGGCGAAAGCCUGACGGAGCAACGCCGGGUGAAUGAUGAAGGUCUUCGGAUGGUAAAACGCUGUUAUUAGUGGAGAACAAAUGCGUAAGUAACUAGGCUCGUCUUGACGGUACCUAAAGAAUAAGCCCCGGCUAACUACGUG